CCCAACCCACCCAAUCAAUGAGGAGGCAGCCACCAUCCUCCCUCUUUAUAAGGAGCUUGGCCGGCCACACCUCCUCUCCUUUGCCUCAUUUCUUUUCACUCCCUACUAUUUCCUCCACUCCCUCACACUCUCCUCCUCCACUUCCCCACGAAAAUGGUGCUCCCCUUGCUCCCAUGGCCGGCCAUGGCUAUGGCAAGCCACCAAGAUGAAGCUCUCCCUCCUCCCUCAAGCUCCUCCUCACCAUGAGAGCCUCCCUCUCCUUCUUCUCCCCAACCCUAGAUGGUUUUCUCUCCUCUUCUUCUUCCUCCCUUGCUAAGAUUGGAUCUUGAUGCAGGUGCAUGUUGGUCCAAGCAUGGAGAAGCUUGAGCUAUCCUCAGAUCUGAAGUUCUUGAGCAAAAUCCAAAUCGAGUGGUUCAAAGUUCUGCAGAUAGGUAUUGAAAAGAUCUACAACUUGGCGUUGGUCUCAUCCUCAAAUUCCUUACGGAUUUUGCAUGAUCAAGAUCUGGUCAGAUCUGACUUUGUCGAAUUAAACCAGGAGCUUGGGGACGAAUUUUUGAAUGAAACCAACAGGG